GUUUCUUUUUUUUUUUUUUUAAUCUUUUGAAUAGCAUAGUUUUCUCCACUCUGAGUUAAUAUAUAAGGAGAGCGUCCUCACGUGCUUACCGUGGAGUAUCUUCCCUUUAUUUUUCUAUCACCGUCUUUCGAUCUGUAGAUUUUCAAAUGAGCGGCUCAUAAAUAAUCAUCCGUGAUGUGGACACGAUAAGACUUGGGAUUUAGG
rnacentral:misc_RNA from 1 species